CGCAAGUAUGGAAAGCAUUACAACAGAGAAAAUCAUAGAAGGGGAUAAAUAUGAGUUCUGAGUGCAAGAACACAAUAGUCAGUGAAUUCCCAAGUGGAAAUUACAUUGAGUAAUAUGUCUGCAAGAGACAACCAGGUCUGUGGAGUCACUAGGAUGGAGGCGAGUACCUGUGGUAUCACUUGGUGCAAGCUGGACCUCAGUGGCAGAAAAGCAGCAGAGAGGAGGAAGAAGUCAGCCAACAGAGAAAAGCAGAGCUGAAAAUGGAGCCAGCGUGGGGAAGGAGAGGAAAGCAAAAAGCCUGGAUCCAGCUAUGCCUGAAAUUAGAGAUUCCAGAACUCUCAAAC